rnacentral:rRNA from 1 species
GAUCCUGGCUCAGAUUGAACGCUGGCGGCAUGCUUUACACAUGCAAGUCGAACGGUAACAGGUCUUCGGAUGCUGACGAGUGGCGAACGGGUGAGUAAUGUAUCGGAACGUGCCCAAUAAUGGGGGAGUAACUAAUCGAAAGGUUAGCUAAUACCGCAUACGCCCUACGGGGGAAAGCAGGGGAGUCUUCGGACCUUGCGUUAAUGGAGCGGCUGAUAUCUGAUUAGCUAGUAGGUGAGGUAAAGGCUCACCUAGGCUUCGAUCAGUAGCUGGUCUGAGAGGACGACCAGCCACACUGGAACUGAGACACGGUCCAGACUCCUACGGGAGGCAGCAGUGGGGAAUUUUGGACAAUGGGCGCAAGCCUGAUCCAGCCAUUCCGCGUGAGUGAAGAAGGCCUUCGGGUUGUAAAGCUCUUUCGCAAGGGAAGAAACGAUGCCGACGAAUAAUCGGUGUUAAUGACGGUACCUUGAUAAGAAGCACCGGCUAACUACGUG